UGAAGAGACAACAAACUUGCCAUAGGUUCCUGGAAGAGCUGAUGCCUUCAUAUUGAUUUCAGUGUCAGACUUACUUAAUGGACCCCUAGAAGACAGCACCUGGGAGGUCAGUUUGUACAGUACAUGUAGCACCAUUCAACAUCAAAGGGUCUACACCAGUCCAACGCGUGGAACUGCAGUAAUCGGGCCACAGUUCAUCCUGUGUCUUUCUCGGCAUCUGAUUUCAUCCAGCUCUUGCUCUCACACCUGAAGAACAAAAUUUCUCUUAGCGUUGUGCAAGGGAACUGUAACACAUGUUUUAGCAGAAUGAAUAAUGCGAAGAUUGUACCGAAACGUUAAACUAAAUUUUGAUAUAUACUGAUAAAAAUUCUAGUUGCCAUUCUGUGACCACGUUUCAGUGGUCACAAGAGUCCCUAAAUAUUGCAGAGUGUAUGAGGUUGCUACCAAGCUUCCUGACAAUUUUGAGCCAUAAGCUGUUGGCUG
rnacentral:lncRNA from 1 species